CGCGUAGGUGGCCCUGUAAGUCAAAGGUGAAAUCCCUCGGCUCAACCGAGGAAUUGCCCUUGAAACUGCAGGGCUUGAGGCCGGGAGGGGGUAGCGGAAUUCCCAGUGUAGCGGUGAAAUGCGUAGAUACUGGGAGGAACACCGGUGGCGAAGGCGGCUACCUGGACCGGUUCUGACACUGAUGCGCGAAAGCGUGGGUAGCAAACAGGAUUAGAUACCCUGGUAGUCCACGCUGUAAACGAUGGGUGCUCGGUGUCGCGGGUAUCGACCCCUGCGGUGCCUUAGCUAACGCGUUAAGCACCCCGCCUGGGGAGUACGGUCGCAAGGCUGAA
rnacentral:rRNA from 1 species